rnacentral:rRNA from 1 species
UACGUAGGUGGCAAGCGUUGUCCGGAUUUACUGGGCGUAAAGAGCGCGCAGGCGGUCGUUCAAGUCGCGUGUGAAAGCCCCCGGCUCAACUGGGGAGGGUCACGCGAUACUGAUCGACUCGAAGGCAGGAGAGGGUAGUGGAAUUCCAGGUGUAGCGGUGAAAUGCGUAGAUAUCUGGAGGAACACCGGUGGCGAAGGCGGCAUCCUGGACCGGUAUUGACGCUGAGGCGCGAAAGCCAGGGGAGCAAAGCGGG